UGAGAUGAUUUAGUGCCCAAUGUAGUCUGG
rnacentral:piRNA from 1 species